rnacentral:rRNA from 1 species
AUCUUGCGCAAUGCGCGAAAGCGUGACGCAGCAACGCCGCGUGAGGGAAGACGGCCUUCGGGUUGUAAACCUCUUUCAGGAGGGACGAAGGUUCGCCGGUGAAUAGCCGUGCGGAUUGACGGUACCUCCAGAAGAAGCUCCGGCUAACUACGUGCCAGCAGCCGCGGUAAUACGUAGGGAGCAAGCGUUGUCCGGAAUCAUUGGGCGUAAAGCGCGCGUAGGCGGCCUUGUAAGUCCGUUGUGAAAGUCAAAGGCUCAACCUUUGAAAGCCGAUGGAUACUGCAGGGCUAGAGUCCGGAAGAGGCGAGUGGAAUUCCUGGUGUAGCGGUGGAAUGCGCAGAUAUCAGGAGGAACACCAAUAGCGAAGGCAGCUCGCUGGGACGGUACUGACGCUAAGGCGCGAAAGCGUGGGGAGCGAACAGG